rnacentral:rRNA from 1 species
UACGUAGGGUACAAGCGUUAAUCGGAAUUACUGGGCGUAAAGCGUGCGCAGGCGGUUUUGUAAGUCUGUCGUGAAAUCCCCGGGCUCAACCUGGGAAUUGCGAUGGAGACUGCAAGGCUAGAAUCUGGCAGAGGGGGGUAGAAUUCCACGUGUAGCAGUGAAAUGCGUAGAGAUGUGGAGGAACACCGAUGGCGAAGGCAGCCCCUGGGUCAAGAUGACGCUCAUGCACGAAAGCGUGGGGAGCAAACAGG